UCCCUGUGAAGGCCUGUGGAAUGCAGGGAGC
rnacentral:piRNA from 1 species